rnacentral:rRNA from 1 species
AGAGCGAACGCUGGCGGCAGGCUUAACACAUGCAAGUCGAACGGGCGUAGCAAUACGUCAGUGGCAGACGGGUGAGUAACGCGUGGGAACGUACCUUUUGGUUCGGAACAACACAGGGAAACUUGUGCUAAUACCGGAUAAGCCCUUACGGGGAAAGAUUUAUCGCCGAAAGAUCGGCCCGCGUCUGAUUAGCUAGUUGGUGUGGUAACGGCGCACCAAGGCGACGAUCAGUAGCUGGUCUGAGAGGAUGAUCAGCCACAUUGGGACUGAGACACGGCCCAAACUCCUACGGGAGGCAGCAGUGGGGAAUAUUGGACAAUGGGCGAAAGCCUGAUCCAGCCAUGCCGCGUGAGUGAUGAAGGCCCUAGGGUUGUAAAGCUCUUUUGUGCGGGAAGAUAAUGACGGUACCGCAAGAAUAAGCCCGGCUAACUCGUGCCAGCAGCCGC